UACGUAGGGUGCGAGCGUUAAUCGGAAUUACUGGGCGUAAAGCGUGUGUAGGCGGUUAGAUAAGUUAGAUGUGAAAUCCCCGGGCUUAACCUGGGCAUUGCGUUUAAGACUGUUUAGCUUGAGUACUGUAGAGGAUAGUGGAAUUUCCAGUGUAGCGGUGAAAUGCGUAGAUAUUGGAAGGAACACCAGUGGCGAAGGCGACUAUCUGGACAGAUACUGACACUGAGACACGAAAGCGUGGGGAGCAAACAGG
rnacentral:rRNA from 1 species